UACCUGCUGGGAGUUUCGGAGGAAUCCGUGAGCCACGGGGACUCAGCAAUCUAAGACCUUGGUGCCAGAACUAGUCAUGUUAUUGGGUAAGGAAGGGGUGAAGUGUUUCAGGCUGCUGCAUCCUAAGGUUGAAUAAGUGGCUAGCUUACGCAAAGGAGAAGUGACAGUGUUCUAUACUAACGAUCGUGAAUACUUGAUCAGAAAGUGAUCCUGAACACCUACCUACGGCAUUCAUAACCCCACCGUGUUCCCGAUCGAAGAGAGAUCUUCGAAGGGACAGUCACGGUUACGCACACAGUUGG
rnacentral:lncRNA from 1 species